AACGAACGCUGGCGGCAUGCCUAACACAUGCAAGUCGAACGAGACCUUCGGGUCUAGUGGCGCACGGGUGCGUAACGCGUGGGAACCUGCCCUUAGGUUCGGCAUAACUCCCCGAAAGGGGUGCUAAUACCGGAUAAUGUCUUCGGACCAAAGAUUUAUCGCCUUUGGAUGGGCCCGCGUUGGAUUAGCUAGUUGGUAGGGUAAAAGCCUACCAAGGCGACGAUCCAUAGCUGGUCUGAGAGGAUGAUCAGCCACACUGGGACUGAGACACGGCCCAGACUCCUACGGGAGGCAGCAGUGGGGAAUAUUGGACAGUGGGCGAAAGCCUGAUCCAGCAAUGCCGCGUGAGUGAUGAAGGCCUUAGGGUUGUAAAGCUCUUUUACCCGGGAUGAUAAUGACAGUACCGGGAGAAUAAGCUCCGGCUAACUCCGUG
rnacentral:rRNA from 1 species